GUUUAGACGUUAGAGGUGGCACUUAACUGCUCCUAUUUUGAUUAAUUUGCUUGGAAAGGGUUCAACGGCUAUUACAGAACAACAGAUUCUUUACAGGAACAGAGAAGAAGCAUCGAAAAUUUCCACACCGCUAUAGGUUUUCUGUCUUUUCGAACUGGAUUUGGAGCCAAAACAAUUUCUCCAGUCUCGAGUUUGCCGUGCGCAGCAAUGUGAACCACAGCAACUGUACUAAUUCUCUCUAGUACUUCACCCUUGGUUGCCUCCUUUCCAGUAAGUGGCUGGAUACCAAGCAUUUUUCCAAUCAUCUCCACCUCCUCGGCAAAAGGCAAAGGCGCAAAUCUGUUACCUCCGUCUAAGAAAACACAUGGAUUUUGUGCGAUUAUCGGAGGCGAAAGGAAGAGUGGAGGCCAAGUAUAUAUUUAGAGCUAUACAUUUAAUGGGAAGAGGAGCUUACAAGAGCAAGGCCUGAGGUCAACUGAACUGUUGCAUAAUCACAUCAGGAUAUUUAUAAGUCGAGCGCGGUUGCUAGGUAAGAGGAUUAAGGGCUAAUCCCACAGAUUUCCAACGAGCAGCGCCCCUGUGUUUUGGUGAUACUCUUCCAGGCAGGCGUUGAUUAGUUUCAUACUCAUCAAUGACGGAAGAAUGCGUAUGCACAUGGAUUCACUGAGAUACUUGGAUUUGGAAUCCAAAAAUGCAGCAAACGGGGCAAGGCACGGUGGACCAUCGGGAACAACAACCAACUCGCCAUCUUCGAUCAGAUUUUUAAUCGGACUUAUAAUGUAAUCAUGAAAGAGACGCGAGGGAUUCUAGUCAGAUUGCAAUGGGUCUACCGCUAUUUCACCUCUUUCCUCAGCGGGCGGCAGUUCUUGUUCGAUACGUGGCUCAUCAAAUGUGCGGUUUUCGCAGAUUACUCGGAAUUUUCUUUGUACUUCUUUGUAAGCCUUCUCUCUUAAGCGAUGGAAAUAGCCGGUUGCGUUUCCUAGAAGUUAGCGCACUUCUACCCGGGUAAACUGUACAUUUCUGUCUUUCCCGAGUACCCAUAGAUUAACUGCGUGUUCAUCCAGUGCAAUAAAAAGCUUUGAACUAGAA